UACGUAGGGGGCAAGCGUUAUCCGGAUUUACUGGGUGUAAAGGGAGCGUAGACGGCACGGCAAGCCAGAUGUGAAAACCCGGGGCUCAACCCCGGGACUGCAUUUGGAACUGCUGAGCUAGAGUGUCGGAGAGGCAAGUGGAAUUCCUAGUGUAGCGGUGAAAUGCGUAGAUAUUAGGAGGAACACCAGUGGCGAAGGCGGCUUGCUGGACGAUGACUGACGUUGAGGCUCGAAAGCGUGGGGAGCAAACAGG
rnacentral:rRNA from 1 species